rnacentral:rRNA from 1 species
UACGGGGGGGCAAGCGUUGUUCGGAAUUACUGGGCGUAAAGGGCUCGUAGGCGGCCAACUAAGUCGGAUGUGAAAUCCCCAGGCUUAACCUGGGAACUGCAUCCGAUACUGGAUGGCUUGAAUCCGGGAGAGGGAUGCAGAAUUCCAGGUGUAGCGGUGAAAUGCGUAGAUAUCUGGAGGAAUACCGGUGGCGAAGGCGGCAUCCUGGACCGGCAUUGACGCUGAACGGCGAAAGCUAGGGAGCAACGGG